rnacentral:rRNA from 1 species
AACGUAGGACACAAGCGUUAUCCGGAGUUACUGGGCGUAAAGGGCGUGUAGGCGGAUUGGUAAGUCUAUUCUGAAAGCUCCUGGCUAAACUGGGAGAGGCGAAUGGAGACUGCCAGUCUAGAGUCCGGAAGAGGCGAGUGGAAUUCCUGGUGUAGCGGUGAAAUGCGCAGAUAUCAGGAGGAACACCAAUGGCGAAGGCAGCUCGCUGGGACGGUACUGACGCUGAGACGCGAAAGCGUGGGGAGCAAACAGG